UACGUAGGGUACGAGCGUUAAUCGGAAUUACUGGGCGUAAAGCGUGCGCAGGCGGUUCGUUGUGUCGGCGGUGAAAGCCCCGGGCUUAACCUGGGAAUGGCCGUCGAAACUGGCGAACUGGAGUGCGGCAGAGGGGGGUGGAAUUCCGCGUGUAGCAGUGAAAUGCGUAGAGAUGCGGAGGAACACCGAUGGCGAAGGCAGCCCCCUGGGCUGACACUGACGCUCAGGCACGAAAGCGUGGGGAGCAAACAGG
rnacentral:rRNA from 1 species